rnacentral:misc_RNA from 1 species
AUUAUCGGACAUUCUGAUUGGAGAGUACAUUCCCCUUUCUUUCAGGCUGUGUUUUUGCUAACAAUAUUUUUACCGACGUCUGUUGUCCAUCAGAAAUUUGUAGUUUUGUUGAAGUUUCUUCGUCAUUUCCUAAUGAAAACUAUAUGCAGUUCUAAUAUCCAUGCUGACUGAAGUUUUAGCUAGAAUGUAAAGAAACAAGUGUAUAUCAGUUUGGUGCUAGCCAUCAUCAUAUCAGUUAUGGCUGAACCUGGAAAGUUGACAAGUAAGCCCAGCCAUCCACACUACCAAGACAGGUGUCCUCCCCCACUAGACCUCUCAGAGCAGCUAACAUCAUUUAAUAAAGCAAAUCUUCGCAAAACAGAUACAGUUGUGACUUUGCCAGAUGGCCGACAAGUGGUGGAAGGAAAAGAUGAAAAGGGUCAAACCAUUACAAAGUCAGUAAGCUUUGGUAACUUAGGAUAUGUUGGAGAUCUUCAAGAAGAUCUUCAAGUUGGAGAGGUUCUUCCAGGCUUAAUAAUGGGAUCUCAGGAUGUUGCACACAAUCUGGAACUUUUGGAGAAGUAUAAAGUGACACAUAUCUUGAAUGUAGCAUCUCAUGUGAACAACAUCUACCCAGACAAGUUCACGUAUUUGUCUUUAGAUUUGCGUGACCUUCCAGAUUUUCCUAUAUUCUGUGCUUUCCCUAAAGCAUUUGAUUUCAUUGAUAGUGCUAUUGAAUCUGGUGGGUGUGUGCUGGUGCAUUGCAAUGCUGGCAUAUCACGUUCUGCAACUAUUGUUCUUGCUUAUUUGAUAAAGAAAAAGCGUAUGCCUCUUAAUGAUGCCUUUUCUUACCUUCGCUCUAAGCGUCCAUCUUCAUUUCCAAACCCUGGUUUUAUGAUCCAGCUGAAAACAUUUGAAGAAAGUUUGGCAAAAGAGUCAGGUUGAGAUGCAUUUAAAUUCAUAAGUUUUUUUAGAAGGAAACAUUUACUAUUUUUUUUAAACAGUAACUGAUUUUAAAAUAAUUCAUGUUUGGGGAUGAUAUAUAUAUAUCAUCAUUUGGGGAUGAUAUAUAUAUAUCAUCAGUCUCAUAGAAUCAAAGUUUAGGAUGUAAACAGUCUGUAAAUUGUAUAAAAUCACAUUUCUCAAAAACUUUGCAUAAAGAUCCUUCCUCACUGCUUGGUGAACACUGCUGAAGGAUUCUAAACAAGUGAUAUGUCACACACGAAUUGAUAUCUUGAGAGAUGCUGUGCUAGUUUCUACACAGUAAAUAGCUGAAGGAAUUGAGAGACAUGGAAGAAUAUAUAAAUAGAAAUAUGUUUUUGGACUAUUUUUUUUUUAUAUGCUGAACAAAAAAUCUACAGAAUAGAGAUCCAUCUCUCCUUAUAGAGAGGUCUUCAAGAAUAGAGUGAAAACAUUUAUUACUCACAUUCAAACGGUGAGGCUCUGUGACUUCAAAGAGCUUUUGUUGUCCAUUGUAUUUUUACCUUCUUUGUUUCUGACUCAUCAAACAACUUUUUGGUUAAUAAAAUUUUCCAGGUUUUCCAUUUCAUCUCCACAGCCUCAUUAGUAAGUAUUUAUAAGAGAUAUAUUCAAAGUGUAAGCAUUAAACUGUAAAUUCUUAACCCAUACAGUUCCUGAACAGCAGGAUUUAGGAGUCUGAUCAAAUACAAGUACAUUAAAAGUCAAUGUGUUUCGUGCAUAGCUUUUUAUAAGAAUAUAAAUUUGAGUCAGUACUUGCCAUGCUAUAUUCCCCAUAAAGAGAAUAGAAAGUCUUGGAAAAAACCAUAAGCAUCUUUGUGAAAAGAAGUCUCUGUGACAUUUCUGGACACCAUGUUUAUUAUAUUUUCAUCUCCUUAUAUUGAAGAGUGUAAAGAAACAAUUUCUUUCUCAUUUUUAUAAUAUUAAUGGACUCAUUGCUAACUGCUAAUGCUGACCAGGUUGUUGUAAUCCUUACAGAAUGCAGAGACUGGCUAAGUAUAAUUAAGUGAAGAGUUUUAUAAAUCAGUUAUUACAGUAUUAUUUCUUCUCUCUGAGAAUUUUAUUUGAUAGACUGGCCAUUAAAUUUAGUGUUGAGAUUCACCAUAAUUGUAACUUUUUCUGUUUGUUUUUGUUCAGUAUCUAAAAUUUAUCAUUUUAGGUGAUGAAGUGACAAUGCUGAUAUAUGAUAACAGAAUUGCUGGAGGUACACUUGUGCAUCUGUAGACAAUUGAGAUUAAAGAGAGAAGAGGAGAUUUGGGAGAUCGAAACAGACUUGGAAAAGAACAGUAGAGAGCGAGGCAAAGAACGUCAGAACCGCAUGGGCCCAACUGAGGCAGGCUGCCCAAAACUGGGUCCGCUGGCGAGGUGUUGUUGCAGCCCUAUCCUAGUAACAAGGAAUAAACUAAACUGCAAGAGGAUGGGCAGAUACAAAUUUGAGUCUAUAUUUAAUCACUAAUGGCAGUUAUUUCUUGAUACCAUUUUUGUUUCUGUAAUCAUUAUAGGUCAAGUCUUGUUUGAGACUGACUGAGCAAUUGACAAUCUAUUUUUGACAGCUGUGCAGAUUGAUGAGAUAAAUAGUGUUAUCUUUAAUAUAUCAGUAAAUCUAUGUCAGCAUUAAGAAUAUAUCAGCCCCAUAUCAACUGUACAUUGUUUUCUUUCUAGUUUCUCUUGUUUUUAUGUUUAUUGUUUAUUUACUUGAUAACUGUGUUAUAUGUCUUGCUAGACAUGCCAUACCAAUUCAUUUCUCAUCACUACAUUUCUCAUUAUGUAUAUAUUUGUUCUUCCUGUAGCAGAAAAGAAGUGGGAGAAGAGAGCAAAAGAAUCAGGAUGAGCAUGGAUGUCAAGAAAAUGUUUAUAUCUAAAGUGUAAUCAUUUACAUUUGAUGUUUAUUGACAAUUUGUUUGGACAAAAAGUGUCAGUUGAUUUUGUAUAUAAUCACUAUUGACAGAACUAAAUGACUGCAUUUUAUAGUUUAAGCAAAUUAAUGAGCACGAUCUCUGUGACUUUGACAGUUUUUAUUUUAAUCAUCUUUCUCACAUGUUUGUCAUUGAAGUGCUAUUUAUUUCAACUGGCAGUGCAGCUAGGAGUUUGUUCCAAAGGCAGACAGUAAACAGGUUUUGAUUCAGCCUGUUUAUGUAGCUUUAGAUUACAGAUCCCCCCCAAAAAAUUUGUUGACCUUUCUGGGAUUAAGUGACCUCAUAAGACAAAGAGUGAAAUGGGGUCAACAAAUGAAAACCAUAAUAAUCCCUUUAGUUUUAGUUAGAAAUAUAAUUGACGCCAUUGUUAAUGUUGUCAUAUUUUUUUCUAAAAUGUCACUUCUGGUGAUCAUCAUAACCCUGAAAAAAAAAGCAACACUGCCCAAAUACUUUUUGUGACAUUUUUACUGUUUGUUUCAUUAAGUAUUUUUAUUUCAAGGGCUUUCAUGUAUUUAUGUUACACUAUGUGCAUGUGUUUGGGAAAGGGGUGACAGAAAAUAUUGUAUUUUGUUAUCAUUUGUCUUCUGAGUUGCAUGUCUUUGGAGUUAGAGUUUAUUUUAGAUUUUAACAGGGAUUUUCAGUUUCUUUUUGUUUGUUUGUUGAUACAGCAGACAUCAUAUUCUAAACAACAUAUUCUAAAACAAAUAAUGGAGAAAAAGGAAAUAUUUUAUUCUCUUACGAAAACUUAAGUUUCUGAAUAGUUUGUGAAAAAAAUAAAUGCUUAAAAAUUUUGUAUUAUCCAAGCAUAUUGUUUGCAGAAAGCAUCAUCUUUUUUUCUUUUGUCUCAUGCUACUUUCGCUGACAUCAUCAAUUGUUUAUAGAAGAACAGUGUACCUGAAAUCAUUUUUCUAAAACAAGUGAUCCAUGAUACAGUUUAAGUCUACACUUUUUUAAUCUGUGAUUGUUUGAACUUUAUUAAGUAUAAGGAUCUCAUGUCAAUUUUAUCAUAAUUUUAAGAUAUGACAGAAGUGAGAAGGAUGCUAGAAAUAAACCGGUACAUUCAAUUUUUCAUAUCAUCACAAGAACUCUACAGAACUGCAUUUUAUGUAUCCCAAAUUAAAAGUUAGUGUUUGUUUUUAUUUUGAUUAAAUUUUGUUUUCAGUUUGUCAUUAAUGAUGCCUCUUGCAUCUUUAAUCUUGUGAUGAUAUUUAUAUUUUAAAAUAAAACUAAGCAUAGUUUGUGUAUUCUUUACUGCAAUGUGCAAUGUGUAAAAUGAGAUUGAGCUUUAAUCUAUUGAUGGUAGCAGUCAAAGUUAAAAUGGUCAGACCAGUGGUGUAAAAUAACUGACCUAUUACCUCAUUUUUAUUUUUAUUAUUAAUUCCUGUUUUGCACAAAUUGUAGACAUUUCUGUGCACUUACACAGUAGUUUAUUAAGUAAAUACAGAAAAAGAUCGUAGUCUAAUGGGUGUGGGGUUUGUUUUUGGGUUUUUUGUUUGUUUGGUUUUUUUUUUGGGGGGGGGGUCUUUGCUCUUCUGAAGAAUUACAAGUGGUUCUCUGGAGAAGAAAACUUGUGGACCUGUCGAUGAGAUGGUUCUAGUUAUGCUCAAAUCUCUUUAUUUUUUUCUUUAUUAGUGCACAAAAGUGCUUCUUAAUUUCACACAUUAAAAGGUUUUAGACGUGCUUUUACUGUGGAGAAUCAGAGACUAAAUGUUCAUGCAACCCCAAAUACUACACAGUUAGAUAUUACUUUCUCUUAUGUUUCAUUAACACUUUGCAUUUUUGAAAUUAAACCAAAGCAUAGACUUAGAAAAUAAUAUUUCUUUUAGUUUUAAAUGCAUGAAGGGUGUGGUCUCCUAUUCAAUAAUUCAAUCUGAGAUUGAAGGGGAGGGGUAGUAAGAUGGAGGGAUUUAAAAGUUUACAAGUGAAAUCAAAAUUUAACCUGAAUUUUUUUUUUAAAUAUAAGAGCACUGCAUUUGGUGUUUAUUUCCUAGGUUGUUUUUUUUUAAAUAUAGAAGACUUGCUAUUAUGUACACUUUUCUCUACAUUCAUUGUUAUGAAAAAAGGAUGAUUUGGUAUUUUAUUUUCUUUGAUGGCUGUAUCUUUGAACAUCAAAAUCCAUUAUGAAAACUACAAACCACAAAAUGUGUUUCAAUAAAUGUACUGUCAGAUAUUA